rnacentral:rRNA from 1 species
UACGGAGGGUGCGAGCGUUGUCCGGAAUCACUGGGCGUAAAGGGCGCGUAGGCGGUGUGUCAAGUCAGGCGUGAAAGCCCCGGGCUCAACCUGGGAACAGCGCUUGAGACUGGCACGCUCGAGUUCGGGAGAGGAUGGUGGAAUUCCCAGUGUAGAGGUGAAAUUCGUAGAUAUUGGGAAGAACACCGAUGGCGAAGGCAGCCAUCUGGACCCGACGACUGACGCUGAGG